CAUGAUAUUAAUGAACAUGAAAAAAGAAAACUUAGAAACCCAUAGAGUAAAUGUUCAAUAUUUUCUUCAUUUUCUUCUCUCCUUUUACUAUUUUUGCUUAACGAUUACCCUGUGGACCAUCCUGAUGAAUUCCCAGUGAGUUGCCGUGGGAAGAGCGUUCAAAGGGAAAGGCAAAGUCAUCAGAUACUUUCAGCAGAUCGAUAUUAGACUUAUUAAUCAUUUUCCUUCAGUAAUAGAUUGGCUCUUUGGGGAAUCUUUCAGAAUUUGCUUCAGACUGAUGAGUUGUUUUGACAGUUCAGAAAAUGCCUUAAUUUAGAAACUGCAGCUUUUCAUGUUGCUGCUCUGUUUAACCCAUCAUAGAUCCAUCUGUUGUAAACACACAGUAUUUAUUCAUUCCUGGGUAGUUUCUGUGAUAUCAGUUUUGUGGUAUUGAAGUGUCCUACACAUGCUGUAAGUCAUAUUAGCAAGGCUCUUUCUGCUCUUCUAAUUCUUUAUUGGUGGAAUGCCAUUUCUACUGCAGAAGGUGAACUAGUUUGUUCAGAGGACACUGCUUCGAGAUCUUUAUAAUCUCCUCUGGAGGCAGGCUUAAUUCUGAGGAAUCUUGUGGUCCUGGAAGAAGGAACAUCAAUAUUGCUCUGAGCAUUUCCUCACUGGUGAGGAGCCUCUGGAAUGACAGGAUCACAGCAGCAGGAGAUGGAGAGAUUUUGGAAUACUUUUCUUCCUGAUUAGGCCAAGAGCUUAUGCAAAGAGCAUUCUUCCAGGGGAAAUAAGUAUGUGGGUUUUACAUCAAAGUCAGCUCAAGAUCCGUACUGAAAUGGGAAAUUCAAAAUCAGGAGAUGAGGGAACAGAGAGGAAAAACCCAGCAACUUACAAAGCUCUAUUAGGACCAGAUUGAAGCUGAAGAAAAUCCCACCCACUGUUCAAACCAAGACAACCCCAUGCACACACAAACCGCAUGGACACAGAUCCUCAGGCCUUAUGAGGAGCAUUUGAGGGCUGAAGCUGUCAUCUUCACCUUUGCAGUUCUUAAUUCUUCUUUCUCCCCAAAUCCAGAAGGAAUACACCAGGAACAAUGCAGCUCACCUGUGUCAUUACUGAGGAUUAAGGAGCAAAGAGUAUAAAUCAUUUCUUAAUGAGAAACUGAGGGGGAAUAGGGUGGGGGCAUCAUUAGACAAACAAAGCAAAGGACCCAGCACAAUAGAUGCUAAGUAGCCCAUUAGUCUCUGCUAAGUGCUGCUGCUUGAGUUUACAGCAGGAAAAGCAGUUUAGGGGAGAAAAAAAGGGAUUUAGCAUGAACAUAUCCUUUCUAUCUAAAGAUGUGCUAAACUCUGUAGCAGUGCCUCUCAAAUUAGUAAAGGGAUAGAAUUUACAUAGAAAGUACUCCGUGUUUUUGCCUUAGUCCCCACAAGAGUUGAUCUGCUUUUAAUGCAGAUGCUGACUGAGCCCGGGGUAAUCCCAGUUUACAAUGGGCUUGAUGGGAGAUGUUAAGCAUAUGGUUCUUUGAAAAACCUCUCUCCAGCCCAUGGAGUGCAACAAAUCAGUUAGUUCUUGUUUUCUCUUGCACUGUUAAAAGCAAUAUCGAACCCUUGACAUAUUUGACCAGGCUUUGUUGUCACAGACAUUUGUUAGAACUAAUUUAACUAUGUAGAAAA